rnacentral:rRNA from 1 species
AGCGAACGCUGGCGGCAGGCUUAACACAUGCAAGUCGAACGGGCAUAGCAAUAUGUCAGUGGCAGACGGGUGAGUAACGCGUGGGAACGUACCUUUUGGUUCGGAACAACACAGGGAAACUUGUGCUAAUACCGGAUAAGCCCUUACGGGGAAAGAUUUAUCGCCGAAAAAUCGGCCCGCGUCUGAUUAGCUAGUUGGUAGGGUAAUGGCCUACCAAGGCGACGAUCAGUAGCUGGUCUGAGAGGAUGAUCAGCCACAUUGGGACUGAGACACGGCCCAAACUCCUACGGGAGGCAGCAGUGGGGAAUAUUGGACAAUGGGCGAAAGCCUGAUCCAGCCAUGCCGCGUGAGUGAUGAAGGCCCUAGGGUUGUAAAGCUCUUUUGUGCGGGAAGAUAAUGACGGUACCGCAAGAAUAAGCCCCGGCUAACUUCGUG